rnacentral:rRNA from 1 species
UACGUAGGGUGCAAGCGUUAAUCGGAAUUACUGGGCGUAAAGCGUACGCAGGCGGCUGUGUAAGACAGGUGUGAAAUCCCCGGGCCUAACCUGGGAACUGCAUUUGUGACUGCAUAGCUAGAGCCUGUCAGAGGGGGGUGGAAUUCCACGUGUAGCAGUGAAAUGCGUAGAGAUGUGGAGGAACACCGAUGGCGAAGGCAGCCCCCUGGGAUAAGACUGACGCUCAUGUACGAAAGCGUGGGGAGCAAACAGG